UAACGAGGGCUAAGCUGUCUCCUUUUUCCAGUCAAUGAAAUUGAUCUUCCCGUGCAGAAGCGGGAAUCCCAACAUAAGACGAGAAGACCCUAUGGAGCUUCAAACACAAGGCAGCCCAUGUAAAACACCUGGAUUAACAGAACUAACCAAGUGGCCCCUGCCCUUCUGUUUUUGGUUGGGGCGACCAUGGGGAAACAAACAUCCCCCAUGUGGAAUGGGGCCCUCCCCCCUAAAGCUAGAGCCACAGCUCUAGCCAGCAGAACAUCUGACCUUCAAGAUCCGGCAAAGCCGAUCAACGGACCGAGUUACCCUAGGGAUAACAGCGCAAUCCCCUUUUAGAGCCCAUAUCGACAAGGGGGUUUACGACCUCGAUGUUGGAUCAGGACAUCCUAAUGGUGCAGCCGCUAUUAAGGGUUCGUUUGUUCAACGAUUAAAGUCCUACGU
rnacentral:rRNA from 1 species